GAUCAAGCAUAUGAAGGGCGUCUGGUGGAUGCCUUGGCACUGAGAGGCGAUGAAGGACGCAGCACGUUGCGAUAAGUCACGGGGAGCCGCGAGCAGGCUUUGAUCCGUGAAUUUCCGAAUGGGGAAACCCACCCAGCAAUGGGUAUCGUCAACUGAAUUCAUAGGUUGGCGAGGCGAACCCGGGGAACUGAAACAUCUAAGUACCCGGAGGAAAGGACAUCAACAGAGACUCCGCUAGUAGUGGCGAGCGAACGCGGACUAGGCCAGUGGUGGCUUCUACAUAACCGGAACCGUCUGGAAAGUCGGGCCAAAGCGGGUGAUAGCCCCGUACGGGUAAACCGGAAGCCAUCCUCGAGUAAGGCGGGACACGAGAAAUCCUGUCUGAACAUGGGGGGACCACCCUCCAAGCCUAAGUACUCCUCAGUGACCGAUAGUGAACCAGUACCGUGAGGGAAAGGUGAAAAGCACCCCAAUGCGGGGAGUGAAACAGUUCCUGAAACCGGACGCUUACAAGCAGUCGGAGCCCCUUCUGGGGUGACGGCGUACCUUUUGUAUAAUGGGUCAGCGACUUACAGUAUGCAGCAAGCUUAAGCCGAUAGGUGUAGGCGUAGCGAAAGCGAGUCUGAAUAGGGCGACUAAGUUGCAUGCUGUAGACCCGAAACCGGGUGAUCUAUCCAUGGUCAGGUUGAAGGCAGGGUAACACCUGCUGGAGGACCGAACCCACGCCCGUUGAAAAGGUCGGGGAUGAGCUGUGGAUAGGGGUGAAAGGCCAAUCAAAUUCGGAAAUAGCUGGUUCUCCGCGAAAGCUAUUUAGGUAGCGCGUCGGAUAUUACCUGCGGGGGUAGAGCACUGGAUGGGCUAGGGGGGCGCGAGCUUUACCAAACCUAACCAAACUCCGAAUACCGCAGAGUACAGUCCGGCAGACAGACGGUGGGUGCUAAGGUCCAUCGUCGAGAGGGAAACAGCCCAGACCGCCAGCUAAGGUCCCCAAAUCACGGCUAAGUGGAAAAGGAUGUGGGAAGGCCAUGACAACCAGGAGGUUGGCUUAGAAGCAGCCAUCCUUUAAAGAAAGCGUAAUAGCUC
rnacentral:rRNA from 1 species